GUGGCUAUAGUACAACGGUUAGUACAUCGGGUUGUGGUCCCGGUGACGAGGGUUCGAUUCCCUCUAGCCACC
rnacentral:tRNA from 1 species